rnacentral:rRNA from 1 species
UACGUAGGGUCCGAGCGUUUGUCCGGAAUUAUUGGGCGUAAAGAGCUCGUAGGCGGCUUGUCACGUCGGGUGUGAAAGCCCGGGGCUUAACCCCGGGUCUGCAUUCGAUACGGGCUGGCUAGAGUGUGGUAGGGGAGAUCGGAAUUCCUGGUGUAGCGGUGAAAUGCGCAGAUAUCAGGAGGAACACCGGUGGCGAAGGCGGGUCUCUGGGCCGUAACUGACGCUGAGGAGCGAAAGCAUGGGGAGCGAACAGG